AUUGAACGCUGGCGGCAGGCUUAACACAUGCAAGUCGAGCGGUAACAGAGAGAAGCUUGCUUCUCUGCUGACGAGCGGCGGACGGGUGAGUAAUGCCUAGGAAUCUGCCUAGUAGUGGGGGAUAACUUGCCGAAAGGUAAGCUAAUACCGCAUACGUCCUACGGGAGAAAGGAGGGGACCUUCGGGCCUUUCGCUAUUAGAUGAGCCUAGGUCGGAUUAGUUAGUUGGUGAGGUAGUGGCUCACCAAGACCGCGAUCCGUAACUGGUCUGAGAGGAUGAUCAGUCACACUGGAACUGAGACACGGUCCAGACUCCUACGGGAGGCAGCAGUGGGGAAUAUUGGACAAUGGGGGGAACCCUGAUCCAGCCAUGCCGCGUGUGUGAAGAAGGUCUUAGGAUUGUAAAGCACUUUAAGUUGGGAGGAAGAGCAGUUAACUAAUAUUUGACUGUUUUGACGUUACCGACAGAAUAAGCACCGGCUAACUUCGUG
rnacentral:rRNA from 1 species